GAGGUGUUCCAUCACACAGAGGUGUUCCAUCACACUGAGAUGUUCCAUCACCAGGCUCCCUGUUGGUGCUCCCAGGGGAUGACUGUGGGGUUGAGCUGGCACUUUGUGCUGUGUGGCUGCACUUGCAGGUGGCAUUUGCACUUUCCCAGUUGCUGGCUGCUGGUGUGGAGCUGGAGCUGGGCUGCAGGGGUGAAUCUCUGAGAGACCAGGAAUAGACACCACUGGGAAAACACAGCUGCACCUGAGCCUGCAGAACUGCUCAAAGGGGCCAUCAGACAUCCCCCAGCUGCCUUGCUGGGCUGUGGCAGGCUGACACCACAGAAGAGUUGACACCAGUGGUCAUCACCACCCUCCUCUCACAUCACCUGAUCCAGUCAGCCUGAGAACCACUUGCUGCUCUUUGUGCAUCAUCUCCCAAACCUGUCUGAACUCUCUUUGGAGGGGUUGAGCACCUGCCAGAGACCUUCAAGAACAGCAGACACGAGCUCUCCACCCCCAGAGGCAGGAGGCCUUUGGCCCUGGCAGCACCCAGGUACAAAGGGAAAAGCCCAAACCUGAAACACAACGUGGAAAACGGAGCAGGUUGCUGUCCUUGCAGCACUGAGCCUCCAGAGCACGGAUUAAAGGCACUCACCCUCCAACACACACAGCUCCUCCAAGAACUAAAGACAUAAUGAGUGCCCUCACAACCUAUUAGCAGGCUUUAUAUUCUGAACAAGAGAACCUCGGGGCCCAGCCCGGAAAGGUCAGGAAGUUUUUUUCAGCUCAAACUAGACCUAAUCAAGUUUUUCCCAACAGCAAAUGCAGGAAAACACUGAUUUGUAAGGGGAGAAAUUUAA